ACAUGCAAGUCGAGGGGCAUCGGGGGAGAGCUUCGGCUUUCCCGCCGGCGACCGGCGCACGGGUGAGUAACGCGUAUCCAACCUGCCCUUCACUGGGGGAUAACCGGGAGAAAUUCCGACUAAUACCGCAUAUGAUGCCUGAACGAAUGUUCGGGUUUUGAAAGAUUUAUCGGUGAAGGAUGGGCAUGCGUGAUAUUAGGUAGUUGGCGGGGUAACGGCCCACCAAGCCGACGAUAUCUAGGGGUUCUGAGAGGAAGGUCCCCCACAUUGGAACUGAGACACGGUCCAAACUCC
rnacentral:rRNA from 2 species